AACGCGAAGAACCUUACCUGGGCUUGACAUGCAGAGGAAACUUUGGUGAAAGCCAGAGCCUCCCGCAAGGGACUUCUGCGCAGGUGCUGCAUGGCUGUCGUCAGCUCGUGCCGUGAGGUGUUUGGUUAAGUCCAGCAACGAGCGCAACCCUUAUCAUUAGUUGCCAACACGUAAGGUGGGGACUCUAAUGAGACUGCCUAGGUUAACUAGGAGGAAGGCGAGGAUGACGUCAAGUCCGCAUGGCCUUUAUGUCCAGGGCUACACACGUGCUACAAUGGUCGGUACAGAGGGCUGCAAGACCGUAAGGUGGAGCAAAUCCCAGAAAGCCGAUCUCAGUUCAGAUUGUGGACUGCAACUCGUCCACAUGAAGUCGGAAUUGCUAGUAAUGGCGCGUCAGCAACAGCGCCGUGAAUACGUUCCCGGGCCUUGUACACACCGACAUA
rnacentral:rRNA from 1 species